rnacentral:rRNA from 1 species
GGGAAUUUUGGACAAUGGGGGAAACCCUGAUCCAGCCAUCCCGCGUGUGCGAUGAAGGCCUUCGGGUUGUAAAGCACUUUUGUCAGGGAAGAAAAGGUUUCGGAUAAUACCCGGAACUGAUGACGGUACCUGAAGAAUAAGCACCGGCUAACUACGUGCCAGCAGCCGCGGUAAUACGUAGGGUGCAAGCGUUAAUCGGAAUUACUGGGCGUAAAGCGUGCGCAGGCGGUUCGGAAAGAAAGAUGUGAAAUCCCAGGGCUCAACCUUGGAACUGCAUUUUUAACUACCGAACUAGAGUAUGUCAGAGGGGGGUGGAAUUCCACGUGUAGCAGUGAAAUGCGUAGAUAUGUGGAGGAACACCGAUGGCGAAGGCAGCCCCCUGGGAUAAUACUGACGCUCAUGCACGAAAGCGUGGGGAGCAAACAGGAUUAGAUACCCUGGUAGUCCACGCCCUAAACGAUGUCAACUAGCUGUUGGGCCCUUCGGGGCUUAGUAGCGCAGCUAACGCGUGAAGUUGACCGCCUGGGGAGUACGGUCGCAAGAUUAAAACUCAAAGGAAUUGACGGGGACCCGCACAAGCGGUGGAUGAUGUGGAUUAAUUCGAUGCAACGCGAAAAACCUUACCUACCCUUGACAUGUCUGGAAUCCUGAAGAGAUUUAGGAGUGCUCGCAAGAGAACCGGAACACAGGUGCUGCAUGGCUGUCGUCAGCUCGUGUCGUGAGAUGUUGGGUUAAGUCCCGCAACGAGCGCAACCCUUGUCAUUAGUUGCUACAUUUAGUUGAGCACUCUAAUGAGACUGCCGGUGACAAACCGGAGGAAGGUGGGGAUGACGUCAAGUCCUCAUGGCCCUUAUGGGUAGGGCUUCACACGUCAUACAAUGGUCGGGACAGAGGGUUGCCAAACCGCAAGGUGGAGCUAAUCUCAUAAACCCGAUCGUAGUCCGGAUUGCAGGCUGCAACUCGCCUGCAUGAAGUCGGAAUCGCUAGUAAUCGCGGAUCAGCAUGUCGCGGUGAAUACGUUCCCGGGUCUUGUACACACCGCCCGUCACACCAUGGGAGUGGGUUUUACCAGAAGUAGUUAGCCUAACCGCAAGGGGGGCGAUACC